GACGAACGCUGGCGGCGUGCUUAACACAUGCAAGUCGAACGGAAAGGCCCUGCUCUUGUGCCUUUCUCGAGUGGCGAACGGGUGUGUAACACGUGAGUAACCUGCCCUUGACUUUCGGAUAACUUCAGGAAACUGGGGCUAAUACCGGAUAGGAGCUCCUGCACCACGGUGGUGGUUGGAAAGUUUCGGCGGUUGGGGAUGGACUCGCGGCUUAUCAGCUUGUUGGUGUGGUAGUGGCUGACCAAGGCUUUGACGGGUAGCCGGCAUGAGAGGGUGACCGGGGUCAUUGGUACUGAGAUAGGGCGCAGUCUGCUACGGGAGGCAGCAGUGGGAAGUAUGGCGCAGCGGGCGGAAGUCUGAUGCAGAGACGUCGCGUGCGGGAUAACCGCUUACGAGUUAUAAACCGCUUUCGCCGGUGAUGAAGCGUGCGUGACGGUAAUGGGUAAGGAAGCAACGGCUAACUACGUG
rnacentral:rRNA from 1 species